CCCGCUGAACUUAAGCAUAUCAAUAAGCGGAGGAAAAGAAACUAACAAGGAUUCCCCUAGUAACUGCGAGUGAAGCGGGAAAAGCUCAAAUUUAAAAUCUGGCGGUCCUCUGGGCCGUCCGAGUUGUAAUCUGGAGAAGCGUUUUCCGCGUCGGACCGUGUACAAGUCUUCUGGAACGGAGCGUCAUAGAGGGUGAGAAUCCCGUCUCUGACACGGACCGCCGAUGCUUUAUGUGAUACGCUCUCGAAGAGUCGAGUUGUUUGGGAAUGCAGCUCAAAAUGGGUGGUAAAUUCCAUCUAAAGCUAAAUAUUGGCGAGAGACCGAUAGCGAACAAGUACCGUGAGGGAAAGAUGAAAAGCACUUUGGAAAGAGAGUUAAACAGUACGUGAAAUUGUUGAAAGGGAAACGUUUGAAGUCAGUCGCGUCGGCCGAGACUCAGCCUUGCUUCCGCUCGGUGCACUUCUCGGUUGACGGGUCAGCAUCAAUUUCGACCGCCGGAUAAAGGUUGAGGGAACGUGACAUCUUUCGAGGUGUGUUAUAGCCCUUGAUUCGCAUACGGCGAUUGGGAUUGAGGAACUCAGCGCGCCUUUAUGGUCGGGGUAGCAACCCACGUAACGCGCUCAGGAUGCUGGCAUAAUGGCUUUAAGCGACCCGUCUUGAAACACGG
rnacentral:rRNA from 1 species